UAACUGUGAAGCAGCAGAACAACAGGAAAAGCAAGUAUUACUUUCACUAUAGACAGCAAAAGACCUGGGACCUGGGAUCUGGGAUUAAAUCUAACUCAAAAAUGAAGCUGUUUUCUUUUUUUGUAAUCUGCAUUUUGUGGAUCUGUACACAGGCAAAAGAAUCAUCGCCUAAAGUCCAAGUAUACAGUUAUAGGCCUGGUGAAUUCGGCAAGGACAACUUUCUGAUCUGCCAUGUGAGUGGUUUCCAUCCUCCAGACAUCCACAUUGAGCUUCUGAUGGAUGAAGAGGUGUUUUCUCAAGCCCAUCAGACAGACCUGGCCUUUGAGAAGGGCUGGAUGUUCCAUCUCACCAAAAGUGUGCCUUUUAAACCCCAAAAGGGCAAAGACUACUCAUGCAGAGUCAGGCAUAUGCAAAAAACUCAGACCUUUGUCUGGCAACCUGAUAUGUGAACGUGAGCAUGAGUUGACAGAGGGGGUACAUUAAAAAUAUUAUUCAGUGAAUUCAGCUGAAAUGGGACUCAAGCACUACAAAUCUGUGAAAGACUGGAGGCUGGUGAUGGAGACACAGAGUUUCAUGUUUGAAUGACAAAUGUCUUGGAUUUUGAAAAGCACUUUAAAUAGUUAAUUUACACUAUUUGCUGAUAUUAGGUUCAUAAGGUCACUUUCAGGGUUACAGUUGUUUUGUCAGCUGCUUCCUGGUUGCCACAGCAGAUCAUUUUCCACUAAUUUAUCCUAUCCUCUUAUACACACUUAAAAGGGUUGUUGUAUAUGCAUGUAAGUUCAUGUAUGCAGGUUACUACUUUAUUCUACAUGAUUGAAAUAAAUUCUUGUCUGUA